ACUACCAAACGCUACAUUUUAUCCGUCUCCUUUCCCUAUAACCCCAAACGCUACAUUUUAUCUCUCUACUCUUAAAACUUCUAUGCACAGAACCGAAACAAACUGAAGCUCACUACCAAAGAAAAUCUAAAGCGAACCAUAGAACAUUUCUUGUUUUACUAUUCAAAAAUCCGCAUACCAAAUCUACAAUAUUUGUUCAGUAUCUCAACUGAACGUAAACAGAAUGGGACAAGCAAGAUGAUCAUCAAACCAAAACGAUUAGAGGAGAAAUCUCAGAUUUAAACAAUCACGGUUUUUAAGCCAAUAUGAAGAAUAUGAACAAAGAAUGAAGGGGAAAAGGGUAAACUGAACCUGAACGAAAAACGCACGUUUCCGAUAAGCGUGAUUAUCAGAACCGAAUCUUGAGUUGAGAUAUGGUAUUAGCCGAGCUUUUAGUGCAAGGUUCAAGGGGAAUUUCAGCAGAGGUUUGGUAUCGGUCUCCUCCUCUUCUCAAUGAUUGGAUUCUCUUUAUUUAUAGAGGAGAUACGAGGUUUUGGAAUCGUGUACGAACCAUGAGCUGGAAAAAUGCAACAAAUCAUUCUGUUAGAAAAAGGAUGCUUCUCAGAUUUGGUUGCAUUACAACUUUAGACUCAUGAUUCCGUAAGUUGUAACCUCCUAUUAGAAGGCGUCUUGCGCAAGGGGGAGUUUGAAAUGUCCUGAAAAGAUAACUAUAUGGAAGUAGCCUUACUCCAACACCAUGGCCAAACGUCGUGCCAUACCAACCUUUGAGGUCUUCCUGGCAUUAUGUUCUUGAACUAGAAAUCAGUAGGAUUAAUUAGGGUCACUUGUAUGUUUAUGCAUUGGUUUCGAGUGUGGUUAUGGAAGCAUGGUAAUGUUUGUAAAAUAUUUGGCUUGGAAUAUCAUAGUAUCGAAAUGAACCUGUAAUUGAUUUACGUUUGCAAUGUGAUGGUGUGUUUGGUUCUAAUUUUUUGACAGGUAAAUCAUGUUCUAUUGGUUGCUUUGCUUAUGUUUCGGCAGGUAUGGAUCAUUGGACAAUUUUAACCAAGGCUUCAAGUGGACUUCAACUUGUGUCCUGUAAGUCUAGUGUGUCUUGCAACUGGUCCUGAUUACCAUACCACACCUGGUUCAACAGCGUUCGUGCGUUGGAGUCUUCUUGGCAAAUCUGCAGAAAUCAUAAUAACAAGAUUAACUUAUAUGUGCUAUUAUACCAAUAUGUACGCCUGAACUGGUUCUACAGCAGGUCUUCCAUGAGCGAAGGGUGGGAUUUUAAUCAAUGUAUUUUUUGUGCUGCAAGCCUCGGGUGGCUGGUUCAUGGCAGGUCUUGGUCGCCUUCAUCCUGUCCUCGGGUUAAGUGGCUUGUUCAUAUUUUUUACACUUAUGUUAUGCUUUCCUAGAUUGUGUUACAUUUUAGCCUCAUGGCUCCAUGUAUUGGUUGUGAUUUAGGAAUGUAUUGUGGCUAAGAAUCCAUCCACGUGUAUCAUGAUAUUGUCAUUCCAAAAUUAUUCAAGCUCUGUUCAUGGUUUGCCUUUCUUGUAGGUUAUACGCAUGGUGGUGAGACAAUCAUGGUGUCAAGAUUAGAGUCCGAAGCACGCGUCCCUCAAUGGCCAACCAUAAUGGAAUUUGAAGACAUGAUUAGAAUUAGGAUGGUAGGUUUGAGAGUUAGGAUGAGAACAAAGUUGGUUCAACUUUGGCCAACAUUACCAAAUUUUGUAGUUUCUCUCAAAUAAUAGGCCUUUCAUGGUUUUGUAAUAAGUAGUGUUAUGCUUGCUGGUUUUGUGAUGUAGGAUCCGCUAUUCCGCUGAAUGCGUUUGUCCAUUGGCUUAUGUUAAUCCUACCACUGAUCAUGGUUUGAAAUGGGAUGAUUGUAAUUGAAGCAAGUGAUUGUAUGUUGUACUUGUUGAUUUGUAAAUGAAGGUGUGAUUU